CAGCUACUCCCUCCGUCCGGAAAUACUUGUCCUUGAAUUGGAUAAAAUGGAUGUAUCUAUAACUAAAAUAAGUCUAGAUACAACCAUUUCGAGGACAAGUAUUUCCGGACGGAGGGAGUACUUA
rfam:Triticum aestivum genome assembly, contig: Triticum_aestivum_CS42_TGACv1_scaffold_021131_1AS